CAACGCGAUGCUAAUACCGGAUAAAGCACAGGAUUCGCAUGGAUUUUGUGUUAAAGUUGGCUUCGGCUUGCACUUGAGGAUGGACCUGCGCCCCAUUAGUUAGUUGGUGAGGUAACGGCUCACCAAGACUGCGAUGGGUAGCCGGGCUGAGAUGGUGAUCGGCCACACUGGGACUGAGAUACGGCCCAGACUUCUACGGAAGGCAGCAGUAAGGAAUAUUGCGCAAUGGUCGAAAGACUGACGCAGCAACGCCGAGUGCAGGAUGAAGCUUCUAGGAGUAUAAACUGCUUUUAGUUGGGAAGAACAGACAGGUUUCGAAUAGGGACUUGUCUUGACGGUACCUUUAGAAAAAGCCCCGGCUAACUCCGUGCCAGCAGCCGCGGUAACACGGGGGGGGCCAGCGUUGUCCGGAAUUAUUGGGCGUAUAGGGCGCGCAUGCGGGAUGAUCAGUCUGAGGUGAAAUCUUUUGGCUUAACCGAAAGCUUGCCUUGGAUACUAGUCACUUUCUUGGAGGUUUCGGAACCAGGGGAAGUUGGAAUUCCUGGUGUACCGGUGAAAUGCGUAGAUAUCAGGAAGUACACCGGUGGCGAAGCCGGCUUCCUGGUCCGAUACGGACGCUGAGGCGCGCAAGCAUGGGGAGCGAACAGGAUUAGAUACCCUGGUAGUCCACGCUGUAAACGAUGGGUACUAGAUGUUGGUCCUUUUUAGGAUCAGCGCCGCAGCUAACGCAUUAAGUACCCCGCCUGGGGAAUACGACCGCAAGGUUGAAACUCAAAGGAAUUGACGGGGGCCCGCACAAGCGAUGGAGCAUGUGGUUUAAUUCGACGCAACGCGAAGAACCUUACCUGGGCUUGAACCGUAGUCGAAAACCCCUGAAAAGGGGUCCUCAUUCGGGACGGCUAUAGAGCUGCUGCAUGGCUGUCGUCAGCUCGUGCCGUGAGGUGUUGGGUUAAGUCCCGCAACGAGCGCAACCCUUGCCCUUAGUUGCCAUCAGGUUAUGCUGGGAACUCUAAGGGGACUGCCCCGGAUAACGGGGAGGAAGGUGGGGAUGACGUCAAGUCCUCAUGGCCCUUACGUCCAGGGCUACACACGUGCUACAAUGCCCGGUACAAUGGGCAGCGAUACCGCAAGGUGGAGCAAAUCCUUAAACACCGGUCUCAGUUCAGAUUGCAGUCUGCAACUCAGACUGCAUGAAGUCGGAAUCGCUAGUAAUCGCAGGAUCAGCAUGCCGCGGUGAAUACGUUC
rnacentral:rRNA from 1 species